UAGAUGUACCUGGCUACGCUUAAAGCCGAUGUUUUCUAUCGAACUAGUCUAUUUUCUUAUCAGACACAAAGUUUCUGAUGCUACUAUUAUGUCAGUGUGUGCUUGUGUGGGGGUCGUGUGAUGUAAUCUUUGAAAGUUUAUGACCGAACCUUUAUUGGGGAGCGACAGGAGAACUCCGGGAUCAGUUUGGAUGGAGCAGAGAUGUUAUACUCAAGUCUAUUGCGAAAUUGUCUAAACUGGUAUUAACUAUUCCUGGUAAAUCGCGGAGAAGAGUGGCCUGAACAAAAAAAAGUCAGACCGAGACUAGAACCUCCGCAGCGUAACACGGAAAUCUUGGAACAAAAGAGACGCCGACUGGCUCGUGUUGUCCGGUUUGGAUAUCAGCGGCAAAGCGAACGUUGUGUGUACUAUUGCAAAAUAUAUAGCGGAUCUCCACGGUUAGGAUACAGACCACAACGCUUUGGACGUAUCUUUAAAAAAGAUUAAAAUCAGAGACUUUUUGGAUUUGUCUGGGGACAUUUUAAACAUUUUGUGGCAAAUUGGAUUUAAAACAUUUCGGAUACUGGAUACCUAGUUUGAUUUGUACACAGAGCUUGUUUAAGACGUUUUCACCGCAUUUUAGGGUUUAUUUUUAAUUAAAGGCUUCUUAAAACAGGUGUGAAAAUGUGUAUAUUAUACAAUGAGUCUUAUAUUGUCUGCUCUGACAAAAAUAAAUUAUUAUUUUAGAUUUUAGAUCAAUUGACUGUGUGUGUUUUAUGUCAAGCGUAUUCUGUUAUGUUUAAUGACGGCUCGUGUGACAGAUUGUGUUUUGGCAUUUGAUGUCAGAUAUCACACUUCCU